AGAAAACUUAAAUUUGUGCCUUUGUUUGACAAAAGGAAAAAGUGGAGUGCAUGGGUAAAAUGUCAACAGAGAUUGCUUUGCAUAAGAAUAUUGCAUUACAAAUAUUGUUCACAAUAUUACACAAUACAAAUAAUUCUAGACAAUUCUAAUAAUUCUAUUAUGAGAGCAUAAGAGGUUAUAAUAAAAACACAUCCAUUUUUGCUUUUUUUUUUUUUUGUACAUUUAGUAUGUGCCAACCAUUUAUGUUAUUUCCGUUUUCUUUAUCAAGUUGUUUUUACUUUGUGAUUCUAAGCUACUCUAAGUACUUGAGAAAAUAUGUGUCAUAACUUCAUGCUUACAUGCCCAUGUCUUGUUCACCAACAGAUUACUUCCGUUGGUCAAAUAUAAAUAUUUAGUUAUUAAUUCAGAUUUGUUCAACAUCACAAAUAUAACUACAUGAGCUUAAACUUCUAUUAAUGCUGCAUUAUUGAAAGCAGAAAAAUAUUUUAUGCUAUUAUGUAGAUACUAAGAGACAUUUCAGAAAAGUACCAUGUCAAGUGCACCCAUUUCAAUCUAUCCAGUUAAAACAAGAGUAAUCAUAAACAAAACAUAACCCCAAAAUAUAUCUGUGCUAUCUAAAUAAAUAUGUUGUUUUGCUGGUUGUUACCAUCUUCAUACCCACGCCAUUCCAAGAUACACUGAGACAGCUCUGGCUGGAACACAAAUGACAUGCUUCUGAUGUUUGGUUCCAAUCACUAGUUCUUAAAAUAUUAGAUGCUCAUGAAGAGUGUAUGUAUUUCUGAGGUAUCUGAAUGCAUAAAAUAGAUGGAUGGGCCAUCAAAGGCAUAAAUAUAGAAAGCAAUUCAUGAAAGACUGCAAGUUGCCAGUUUGGUUGACAAACAGAUGUUUGGGUUUAGUUUUUAGUUUUUACUUACUUCACUGAUCACAGUAAAACCAGUUCACUAACAAAUAUUGUAGUUUUACUGUUUAGCAGCUCUAGAAAUGGAACUAAGCAUCCAUCAGUAUCAAAAAGCAAACAAGAAGUCUCCAGGUUCAUCUAGAAAUCGCUUCAAUUCUUUCCCAUUGAGUGUCAAAUCACACCAGGAGUUCCUAGACUCUCUGUUAGAAAAAUAAUUAUUAUAUCACAGUCUUUCUCAGGAACUUAUCAGCCAACAUGAAAAUGCUGAAAUGUGAGAUGUUCAUGUUCCAAUGUGAGAUACUUGAGUAACUUUUAAGGUACCAAGUAUCUCUUCUCCCCAAGGAACAAAAGAGAACUAACAUUUUUAUGAACUAUUAUUUUCUCUCACUUCACUUAAGGAGAAAAGGUAGAUCUUCAAGAAAGAUUCCUGAGGGAGUUGCAUUUUUUAUUUUCACCUUAAUCAUGUCAUCUGUGUAUAAUAGUAGAUGACGUAUUUUUUCCUGUUUUCCCACAUUGUAUCUCAGAAAUUCUGCAUCUCCAAGUUGUUCAAAGUGUUCUGCUCAGUCUGUGCCUGGAUAGCAAUUAUUUUCUUUGGCUCACUGAUUCUACCAUACAGUGCAUAGAUGUUGGAAUUUUUUUUUUCCCUUAGAGUCUAUUCUCACAGCUCCUUUACAGGUUUUUUUUUUCAGACUGCCUAGAAAUGCAUUAUCAGCAUUCAAAUCUCUAGAGACAAACCGAGUCAGAGCGUUCUGUUAGGAAACUCGUCCCUUAGCUGUUGGGGGACAUGACAUUUCACAGACAAAUGUUACAGUGUGUUUUCUGCACAACACAUAGAGAAGGUAGAUACAACAGUAUCAAAGGUAUGUGUGUUCCAACCACUUCUGGAGCUCCUUUUGUAGAAUGAGAAAUCAUUGUAGCAUUUUCCUUUCAUAUCUACAGAAGUCGACUUUAGCAUCUCCCACUUUCUUUCAAAAUAACGGCAAGCCUAAGCAGUUCGCUAUCGGUGAUAAAAAAAUGUGUAUUUACAAUAAACUGUAGGAUAUAAUGUGGGAAUGUGGAUAAUGCAAAUAUGAGAUGUGAAUAUGCCCCCAAAAUAUUUUUAUGUAAUUCUUUCUAUUCUUUCCCAUUUUUUAGCAGUGUCUUUUCUACCACUUACAAGGUUAUUCAUGACAGAGCAUUUAGCACUGCUCCAUCUACAGCUUCCCAUUCUCAUCCUAAACGAAAGCCUACAAAAUAUCCUUGUAAGAUAGAGUUGGGAAUUAAAAUAUGCAAUUCCUCCUAAUAUUAAAUGUCAUGGAAUCAGUAAGUGGAAUCAGCAAGCUUGAUGAUUAUAUGAAUCCAGGAGGAGUGGCUGAUACACAAGAAGGCUAUGAUGCCAUUCAGCGAGGCUGGAAAGUUGGGCAGCCUGAUGAUGUUCAACAAGGGCAAGUGUAGAGUUCCUCCUCUGGGUAGGAAAAAUUGCAUCAAUCAAUACAGGUUAGGGGCUGACCUUCUGAACAGGAGCUCUGCAGAAACGGAUUUAGGUGUCCUGGUGGAUAAUAGCAUGGCUAUGAGCCAGGAGUAUACCCUUGUGUCCAAGAAGGCCGAUGGUAUCCUGGUAUCCAACUAAUUAUUUAAUCCACUGAAUAAUCCAGCCUUCAAAUCUAUCUUCCUCCAAUUUAGAGAAAAGGUUGUGGUGUGGGACAAUGUCAAAGGCCUUGCAUAAGUCCAGGUAGGUAGGUGACAUCAGUUUCCUUUCCAUAGUCCACCAAUGCCGUCAUUCCAUUAUAGAAAGCCACUAGAUUGGUCAGGCAUGAUCUGUCCUUGGUGAAGUCAUGCUGUCUGUCUCAGAUCACCUCCUCAUGUCACAUAUGCCUUAUCAUUUGUUCCAGGAGAAUCUGCUCCAUGAUCUUCCCAGACACAGAAAUGAGGCUCACCAGUCUGUACAUCCACGUGUGUUCCUUUCUCUCUUUCUUCUACAAUGGGAAUGAUGCUUCCCUUUUUCCAUUCACCAGGGACUUUGCUUGACAACCAUGACAUUUCAAAUAUGCUGUAGAAUAAUGUGUAUCUGUGACUUAUUUUCAAUGAUCAUGUUGACAGCAAAAUAAGGCUAUAUGUUUGCAUUACUUUCUGUGGUCAUGGUUUAGCAGAAAUGCUAAGUCAUAGCCUGAACCAGUGAUUGAGCACCUGGUGGAAAGGCAGGGCCAACCCAAGGGAACUAGCACCUGAGUGACUGGAAGGGGUGGAGCCAGGAUCCACCCAUUCCCAAACCUCAUUUAAGUAUUGGCAGUAGAGGCAAUGGUAUCUUCAUAGAAUCAUAGAAGGGCUUAGGUUGAAGAGGACCUCAAAGAUCAUCCAGUUUCAACCCUCUGCUACAGCCCGGAGAGAGGGGCAUUCCGGAAGGUGAAUGAAGAGCAUGAAAGAUGAAACUCCCAGUAAGAUAACGGAACUAGAAUUCAGUUGUGUGUAUGUAAUUACUGUGAAGUUCCUGGAAUGAACAAAUCCUCAAUAGUCUUCCUGGAUAUCCAAUAUCAAAUGCUACUUGAUAGUGAAGUGCUUAGUGUUCUCAGCUCUCUCUGGGAUGUGUAGUACAAUCCAGAAAAGAGUGACAAGAAAUAACAAGAAGUUCAGCAAUGGCUUGUCAAAUGCCAAUCACAUCAGCAAUUUUGAACAGUACUUCUGAAGAGACUCAGGAGUUAAAUGCAUCAAGAGCAUAUUUUUGACUAAUGUAACAUUGCCUGAUUGUUUUGUUGACAGGAAAAGAUUCUGACAGCUUUUUGAUAUAAAAGCUUUAGACAUGAUUUCUUCCCACAAGUUCAUUUGCGGCAGUUCCUUCUCUGUGGUUAAUAGCUAUCCAUGGUAAAAAUGAUGGCUAGGAUUUGUUCUCUGAGGAGGGAAUGGCAGCACAACAUGUUCUACCAAAGUAAGCCUCAAAGCAGACUUCUUUCUAAAAAUCAUUCCUUUGCAAAUUCUGAUCGAAUCCAUUGCCUAAGGAGGUAAGUGGGUAGAAA